rnacentral:rRNA from 1 species
AUUGAACGCUGGCGGCAUGCCUUACACAUGCAAGUCGAACGGCAGCACGGGAGCAAUCCUGGUGGCGAGGCGAACGGGUGAGUAAAGCAUCGGAACGUGCCCAGUCGUGGGGGAUAACGUAGCGAAAGCUACGCUAAUACCGCAUACGAUCUGUGGAUGAAAGCGGGGGACCGUAAGGCCUCGCGCGAUUGGAGCGGCCGAUGUCAGAUUAGGUAGCUGGUGGGGUAAAGGCUCACCAAGCCGACGAUCUGUAGCGGGUCUGAGAGGACGACCAGCCACACUGGGACGGAGACCCGGCCCAGACUCCUACGGGAGGCAGCAGUGGGGAAUUUUGGACAAUGGGCGCAAGCCUGAUCCAGCAAUGCCGCGUGCAGGAUGAAGGCCUUCGGGUUGUAAACUGCUUUUGUACGGAGCGAAAAGGCUUCCACUAAUACUGGGGGCUCAUGACGGUACCGUAAGAAUAAGCACCGGCUAACUACGUGCCAGCCGCCGCUGUAACAC